UACGUAGGGUGCAAGCGUUAAUCGGAAUUACUGGGCGUAAAGCGUGCGCAGGCGGCUUUGCAAGACAGAUGUGAAAUCCCCGGGCUCAACCUGGGAACUGCAUUUGUGACUGCAUGGCUAGAGUACGGUAGAGGGGGAUGGAAUUCCGCGUGUAGCAGUGAAAUGCGUAGAUAUGCGGAGGAACACCGAUGGCGAAGGCAAUCCCCCUGGACCUGUACUGACGCUCAUGCACGAAAGCGUGGGGAGCAAACAGG
rnacentral:rRNA from 1 species